CACGUAGGGUGCGAGCGUUGUCCGGAAUUAUUGGGCGUAAAGAGCUCGUAGGCGGUGUGUCGCGUCGGCCGUGAAAACCUGCAGCUUAACUGUGGGCUUGCGGUCGAUACGGGCAUCACUGGAGUUCGGCAGGGGAGACUGGAAUUCCUGGUGUAGCGGUGAAAUGCGCAGAUAUCAGGAGGAACACCGGUGGCGAAGGCGGCCCACUGGCUCAUUACUGACGCUCGAGGCGCGAUAGCGUGGGAUCAAACAGG
rnacentral:rRNA from 1 species